ACCAGAUUCGCUCCCGUGCUUUGUUGUGGCAAAGCUCGCAUACUUCAGUAUGCUUCGCUUCACCACGCCGCGCCCGGAAACGAAUCAAAGGUAAGAGGUUCUGACUACACGAUGGGGCUAUAGCUCAGCUGGGAGAGCGCCUGCUUUGCACGCAGGAGGUCUGCGGUUCGAUCCCGCAUAGCUCCACCAUCUCGUGAGUGUUUA
rnacentral:tRNA from 1 species